AUUGAACGCUGGCGGAAUGCUUUACACAUGCAAGUCGAACGGCAGCACGGACUUCGGUCUGGUGGCGAGUGGCGAACGGGUGAGUAAUGUAUCGGAACGUGCCCAGUCGUGGGGGAUAACGUAGUGAAAAUUACGCUAAUACCGCAUACGAUCUAUGGAUGAAAGCGGGGGAUCGCAAGACCUCGCGCGAUUGGAGCGGCCGAUAACAGAUUAGGUAGUUGGUGGGGUAAAGGCCCACCAAGCCAACGAUCUGUAGCUGGUCUGAGCGGACGACCAGCCACACUGGAACUGAGACACGGUCCAGACUCCUACUGGAGGCAGCAGUGGGGAAUUUUGGACAAUGGGCGAAAGCCUGAUCCAGCCAUUCCGCGUGCAGGAUGAAGGCCCUCGGGUUGUAAACUGCUUUUGUACAGAACGAAAAGGUUUCUACUAAUACUAGGAGCUCAUGACGGUACUGUAAGAAUAAGCACCGGCUAACUACGUGCCAGCAGCCGCCGCGG
rnacentral:rRNA from 1 species